GGGGACGUGCCAUCGCCAGGCUCUAUCUCAGCAAGAGGAGGACAAGUCUGCAAUCUUCAAGCCAACAUACUCCUGCAUUCAUGGAUGAGUCACUGGAUCGGGUGGCGGGUCUUGUCGAGGAAUGUCUAAAUGCUGGUAAGCG